ACUGGUGUGACUCCAGAGGACUGCAACAAUGUAGCAUUAUAUGGAAAAUGAUAUAUCAACUAGAUACUGACCUGUCAACCAAAACUCAGUAGUGCGAAAAUUCACUGGAAAAUCUGACAGAGACAGUGUAAAUCCCAUUUAGAACUACUCAGCAGGGAUUUGUUCAGUUGAAAGUUAUGUGAAAAGAAUGUCGUUGUCAUCUCGGGAGAAGUCCAAAGUUGUACUGAGAAAGAAGACAGCUGAGUCAGCAGCAAGUAAUCCUCCAGCUGCUACUGUUAAACCAUAUCCCAGGCCCAGUGACCGGCUAAAUCCAAAAACUAUCAAUCCUUUCAGUGACCCACUGAAGCAACAAUCUGUAUUUGCUGCAGCAUAUGCUAAAAGAGAGAUUCCUUGCAGGUUGUUUCAUGGUUCAGUAAGUCAUAGACUACAAUGGGAUCGGCCACCAGAGACCGUUUGCUUUGACCCUCUUCUUACUACUUUAGCUGAGGGAUUAAGAGAAACUAAACACCCUUACACAUUUGUAGCCAAGGAAGGUUUUAAGGAAUUGCUAGAGAUUGAAGAUGCUGCUGAGAAAGCUAUUCCACUAGUUCCAAAGGUGGUUCCGAAGUUAAAAGCCGCUCUGGCACAUUCAGAUGUUGAGGUUUUUGAGAGAGGAUUGUGUGCUUUGGUCCAGCUUAGUGCUGUUGUUGGUCCAGCUGUAAAUAGCCAUCUUAAACAUCUGUUAACUAGUGAUCUUUUUACGUUGAAAAGGAGUUUGCACUUUGCACCUGGAGUUACAUUUGAAUCUGCCUGACACCUGACUUGAUUCCAGAGAGAAAUAACAUGAUUCCCAUUGCAGAAAGUAGUUUUUUCAUUUGUGAAGCCAUGCUUUAUACCAAAAAUGAUUUUUGAAUUUACUGGCUGAAAACUUCUGGUUAUUGUUAAAUUCAGAGGCCACCUUCUAAAGACUUGAAACAACAGUCUCAAAGAUGGCUGAACCUUUGCAUAACUAAACCUUCCACAUUACAAAGCUGCUGAAAUGGAGACAAGUUGUCAGCAGGAAUUGUCUUGAAGAGUGUCAACGAGGGCCAUGUCCUAAAUUAUUAACAAAACCUCCCAACAAUCACCUGGAUAAUCAACCUGGUGGACAUAAACCACAAGACAUGUCACUUGGUCAGUUGUACUCUAACUAUGAAAUAAUAUUGUCCAGAUGUAAUCCAAACAGCUCAACCAGGCACAUGAACUCCAAGAACCAUGAUCAUAUUUCGAACACUGGUGACCUGGAGGGAAAGGGAGGUUAAUUUUACAAGCUGACUAACCUGUUGUGUGUGAAAGCAUCUCGGUAGACCAGAACAAGAAAAUGCACUGAGGAAACAAGACCCCGAGAGUGGUCUGUGCACAUGCUGUCAAAAAGACUAAUGGACAAAAAACUUAAGCAGCCAAUCACAGAUGCCCUGCAGAGACUGGAACAGCAUGGUGGAAAGGAGAGUCUGGCCAUCAUUAAAUCGAAAAUACCAAC